GGGGGAUAUUGCGCAAUGGGGGCAACCCUGACGCAGCAACGCCGCGUGAAGGAUGAAGGUUUUCGGAUUGUAAACUUCUUUUAUUAAGGACGAAACUGACGGUACUUAAUGAAUAAGCUCCGGCUAACUACGUGCCAGCAGCCGCGGUAAUACGUAGGGAGCAAGCGUUGUCCGGAUUUACUGGGUGUAAAGGGUGCGUAGGCGGCUUUGCAAGUCAGAUGUGAAAUCUAUGGGCUCAACCCAUAAACUGCAUUUGAAACUGUANAGCUUGAGUGAAGUAGAGGCAGGCGGAAUUCCCCGUGUAGCGGUGAAAUGCGUAGAGAUGGGGAGGAACACCAGUGGCGAAGGCGGCCUGCUGGGCUUUAACUGACGCUGAGGCACGAAAGCGUGGGUAGCAAACAGGAUUAGAUACCCUGGUAGUCCACGCUGUAAACGAUGAUUACUAGGUGUGGGGGGUCUGACCCCUUCCGUGCCGGAGUUAACACAAUAAGUAAUCCACCUGGGGAGUACGGCCGCAAGGUUGAAACUCAAAGGAAUUGACGGGGGCCCGCACAAGCAGUGGAGUAUGUGGUUUAAUUCGAAGCAACGCGAAGAACCUUACCAGGUCUUGACAUCCAACUAACGAAGUAGAGAUACAUUAGGUGCCCUUCGGGGAAAGUUGAGACAGGUGGUGCAUGGUUGUCGUCAGCUCGUGUCGUGAGAUGUUGGGUUAAGUCCCGCAACGAGCGCAACCCUUGCUAUUAGUUGCUACGCAAGAGCACUCUAAUAGGACUGCCGUUGACAAAACGGAGGAAGGUGGGG
rnacentral:rRNA from 1 species